UACGUAGGGGGCUAGCGUUGUCCGGAUUUAUUGGGCGUAAAGAGCGUGUAGGCGGCCAUGCAGGUCCGUUGUGAAAACUCGAGGCUCAACCUCGAGACGCCGGUGGAAACCGUGUGGCUAGAGUCCGGAAGAGGAGAGUGGAAUUCCUGGUGUAGCGGUGAAAUGCGCAGAUAUCAGGAAGAACACCCGUGGCGAAGGCGGCUCUCUGGGACGUGACUGACGCUGAGACGCGAAAGCGUGGGGAGCAAACAGG
rnacentral:rRNA from 1 species